UACAGGGGGAUAACACUUAGAAAUAGGUGCUAAUACCGCAUAAGCGCACGGUUCCGCAUGGAACAGUGUGAAAAACUCCGGUGGUAUACGAUGGAUCCGCGUCUGAUUAGCCAGUUGGCGGGGUAACGGCCCACCAAAGCGACGAUCAGUAGCCGGCCUGAGAGGGUGAACGGCCACAUUGGGACUGAGACACGGCCCAAACUCCUACGGGAGGCAGCAGUGGGGAAUAUUGCACAAUGGGGGAAACCCUGACGCAGCGACGCCGCGUGAGUGAAGAAGUAUCUCGGUACGUAAAGCCCUAUCAGCAGGGAAGAAAAUGACGGUACCUGACUAAGAAGCCCCGGCUAACUACGUGCCAGCAGCCGCGGUAAUACGUAGGGGGCAAGCGUUAUCCGGAUUUACUGGGUGUAAAGGGAGCGUAGACGGCAGCGCAAGUCUGGAGUGAAAUGCCGGGGCCCAACCCCGGAACUGCUUUGGAAACUGUGCAGCUCGAGUGCAGGAGAGGUAAGCGGAAUUCCUAGUGUAGCGGUGAAAUGCGUAGAUAUUAGGAGGAACACCAGUGGCGAAGGCGGCUUACUGGACUGUAACUGACGUUGGGGCUCGAAAGCGUGGGGAGCAAACAGGAUUAGAUACCCUGGUAGUCCACGCCGUAAACGAUGAUUACUAGGUGUCGGGGGGCCAAGGCCCUCCGGUGCCGCCG
rnacentral:rRNA from 1 species